rnacentral:lncRNA from 1 species
GAGGUAAGAACUAUGAGUUUGGUUCAAAAUCUACACCGGCAACUGCUAGAGCUUUGUGGUUCAGUCGCUUGUCGCUCAAACCUCUCCACCCACCACCGACGCCUCCCUAUUUCUACCACCUCCUCAUCCGCCCUUUAAUUCCCGCACCUAGUAAUUCCAGCAUCAGUAAUCAUUCUAAUGCAAAUAGUUUAUAUAUAUAUAUAUAUAUAUAUAUAUUCUAGAGCCCAAAAUACUAUUGAUGAGUUCUUUCAUCCCGUAAAGCCAACUCUGGGGCAAAUAGUUAGGCAAAGACUGCAUGAAGGAAAGAAGGUAACAUGCAGGUUGCGUGGUGUGAUACUUGAGGAAAGUAAUCCGGAAGAGCUUCAGAAACAAGCAAUUGUUAGAUCAUCUGUACUUGAAGUACUACUUGAAAUUACAAAAUUUUGUGACCUUUAUCUCAUGGAAAGAGUUCUCGACGAUGAAAGUGAGAAAAAGGUUCUCAUUGCUUCAGAAGAUGCUGGGAUUUUCACAUCUGGUGGUUGGCUUUUCUAAAAGCCUGCUCGGAAUGACUUAUAAGUAUAAAUGACUUAUAAGUUAUACGUGGAAGGCGUUUCAGAAUUUAUUGGAUUUCGAUAAGUUAUCCCUCGCCUCUGCUAUCAUGCUCUGCUUUAGAAACAUAAUAGUUUACGGCAUGGGUAUUAUUUGCUGGAUAUCAAAAGGAUGCUGAAAUUGCUGUGGAUGCAGACAUUGUUUAAAACGAUCAAUUUCACAGGAAGCAGAAUCAAGUCACAUGCUAAGUAAAGGAGGUCAUUAUUGGAGUAAGAGGAUAUUUUUUUUAUGGUAAAAAGAAUAACUUGUUUAUGCGAAGUACCGCAUACAUGGUGAAAUUCUUUUAUUAUUCCGUUCUUUAAUAUUCUGUUGGAAUAUCCUGUCGGUGUGAAUUUUACUUGACCUGGUUCCAUUACUUAUUAUGCUGCAUUUAAUAUUCUGUCGGAAUAUCCUGUCCGUGCUUUUUACGCCGGACCUGGUUCCAUUACUUAUUAUUCCGUAUUUAUGAUUCCGUUGGAAUAUCAUGUCUGUGCUUUACGCUGGACCUGGUUCCGCCUUUAUUAUUCUAUAUUUAUUAUUCUGUUGGAACAUCCUGUCGGUGUGAAUUUCACCUGACCUGGUUCCGUUAUUUAGCAUUCUGUUAGAAUAACCUGUAUACGUGGAUUACCAUAUACCUGGUGAUUUCUGUUGUUAUUCCGUUAUUUAUUAUUAUUCUGUUGGAAUAUCCUGUUGGUGCGUAUUACGCAUGACCUGGUUCCAUUAAUUAUUAAUCUGUGGAAUAACUUGUCUAUGUGGGUUAUUGAAUUAUUAAGUCAUUGUCAAUGUUCUCAUGUUUAUAUUAUGUUGAAAGUCAUCUUUGACCGUAGUGUAUAGAUGGACUUGGUAUGAUUAUGACGACGGAUUAUUCGGUAUAAUCAUGACCGUAAUGUUAUAAAUGAUGUGGUAAAAGUCAUCUUUGGCCGUAGUGCAUAGAUGGACUUGGUAUGAUUAUGACCAGGGAUUAUUCGGUAUAAUCAUGACCGUAAUGUUAUAAAUGAUGUGGUAAAAGUCAUCUUUGGCCGUAGUGCAUAGAUGGACUUGGUAUGAUUAUGACCAGGGAUUAUUCGGUAUAAUCAUGACCGUAAUGUUAUAAAUGAUGUGGUAAAUGUCAUCUUUGGUCGUAAUGCAUAGAUGGACUUGGUAUGAUUAUGACCAAGGAUUAUUCGGUAUAAUCAUGACCGUAAUGUUAUAAAUGAUGUGGUAAAAGUCAUCUUUGGCCGUCGUGCAUAGAUGGACUUGGUAUGAUUAUGACCAGGGAUUAUUCGGUAUAAUCAUGACCGUAAUGUUAUAAAUGAUGUGGUAAAUGUCAUCUUUGGUCGUAGUGCAUAGAUGGACUUGGUAUGAUUAUGAUCACGGAUUAUUCGGUAUAAUCAUGACCGUAAUGGAAAACACGAAUAUCCUUGGCCCGUAGUGCAUGGAUAAUUCAUGGUCGUGAUACUAUUAAGCUGAGUCUCAGCAUUGUUGGUUUUACAGUUGUAUACCUUUGGCUGUAGUACAAAGAUGAAUUUAAAUAGUAUGAUUAUUAGCAGGAAUUAUGAUUUGGUAUAACCAUGAUUUUUUUUAUAUUUCAGGUGAAGAUAGGUGAUUAAAAUUAUCUUCGUCCUGGGUGCGGAAAGGAAUUUAGAAUCACAUUUAUGAUUAUGAGUUAUUCAUAUGGUAGUGUACAGGAAUUGUUUAUUAAUGUUACAGGGAUAUACAUUAUCGAUGGACUUUUAAUAUAGAGAAGAUAAUGGAUUUGACGGUUUAUUUGACUCUUCUAAUGGAUUUCUCGUUCCGCUGCAACUAUGGUUGAAAAGUUUUAUCAUCUACCAUAUGUUCUAAAUCUCUGAUUUAUUAUUGAUGAAGUCUAUUGAUAAUUUAAUUAUCUUUAGUUAUGAUAUUCUUUACUGGGCUAGUUGUGCUCAUCCUUUGCUUCACAAUUCUUUUCAGGUAAUAAGAGUGUAGCUAGGUCAAGCGGGGAUAACAGGGGAAAGGAGUGACGGUCCAGAUGAUAACAUUAGUAGUCCUCACUAUUCUGAAUAAAUAGUGUGACAAUAAAUGUAACGAGGACUCCUUUGAGUUUGUAUACUGUCUAGAUGACAAUAUACAUAUUAAAACUCUUAGAUUAUGUUUUGUAGUAUUUUACACGACAGUUGUAUUAUUAAGUUGUAUUUGAGUUUUGUACCAUGUAUUUGGCGACUCAAAAUUGGGUGAUGAAUACCUAGUUUUGGGGGCGUCACAUUUGGUAUCAGAGCUUAGUGAUAUGGUCGCUGGCGGAGAUAAGAGUCUAGAACUAGGACGGGAGAGACGAGUAAUAUACUUCGCUAGUGUGUGACUUACCUAAGCUGAAAUUAUUUACUUGAUAAGUUGACAAAUUAUGAUAUGUCAAUUAACCUUUGUUUUGAAGCUAUAUUCUAGAAUGAUAUCUGGAAUACAGGAGAUGAGAAAUGGAAAAAUUAUGAUAGCGAGGAAAUUAUCGGGAAGGUACAAUCUGAAAAGAAAGUAAGGUAUUCUCGUCUCUUCGAAUAUCAGGGACGUACGUAAAUUUUGAGGGCGAAAUUUCAUAAGGAGGGGAGAAUGUGAGACCCCGAAUUUUAUGAAAUAAAAAUUUAAAUUAAUUUAUGAUUAUUAUUUUUAAAAUUUGUAAAAUGUUGAAAUUGUAGAUAGUCAAAAGAAUAGUAAUUGGGUAAAUGAACAAAUAAAAGAGGAAAGGAAAUAAUUUUUUUUAUUUUUAUUAAUAGCCCAUGUGGGCGGCUGAAUUGGGGGAAAAAUUAAGCAAUAAAAAGGGUGGUGGGUAUAAUGUAAAGACUCAUCAUUUGACUAUCUGAUUGAUUUUUCUUAUUCAUACUUCCUUUUUUAUUAGCCGUUACAUUUACAGAUGAAGAGAGUUUCACCGGUCUCUGAAUUUCUGUGUUUCUUUCUAUUUGGGUCUUUGCCAAGAUCAGAUUAUCCAGAUCCGAUUUCUCCGUUUCCCUCUAUAUAUUUUUCAUUUUCUUUGCUCUACUAGUUAACUUCUGGGUUUUUUCGAGAAAUCAAUUUCUGAAACUAACUGAAGAAGAGAGAUGUUGGAUCUUAAUCUUAAUAUUGAUGCAUUUUGUGUUCCAUUUCCAGCACAAGGCCAUGUAAGCCCUGUAAUGCAACUAGCCAAGCUUCUCCACUUAAGAUGCUUUUAUAUCACCUUUGUCAACACCGAGUUCAACCACCGGCGGUUACUCCGGUCAAAAGGAUCGGCGUGGGUAAACGGGUUCGACAAUUUCAAGUUCGAGACCAUACCGGAGGGCGUACCACCGUCCAAUCGUGAUGCAACGCAAGAUCCUGCGGCCCUAUUCGAUUCCAUUCCAAAGAAUUGUUUGGCUCCGUUUCGAGAUCUUUUAGCCAAACUCAGCUCUUCCCCGGAGGUGCCACCGGUCAUGUGUAUAGUAGCUGAUGGAAUCAUGAGCUUCGUUAUAGAGGCUGCUAAAGAAAUUGGUGUGCCUGAGGUUCAGUUUUGGACCGCCUCCGCUUGUAGAUUCCUGGAGUAUUUUCACUACCCUGGACUCAUGAAAAGAGGCAUUGUUACUUUCAAAGUUUCUGUUGAUUCAAUUUGCGAUGAAAGUAGUGUGCCAAAUCACUCAUGGCGAUUGAGAAGGUUCUAGAUGUUUCCGCCGGAGUUCAGAGAGAUGAUUCCGGUUCUUCUGUUUCCUCUGUAGUCAACGCCGAUGAAGCUCCGACGAGUACCGUAGGAGACGCUGACUCCAGCUCUACUCUCAAUUUUGACAUGGUUUUCAACAAAUCCAAAUGUGGUACCUAUAUUGAGAGUUCGGCUCCGUCGACUGCGUUAGUUACGAGGCAUCUUUUUCCGGUGAACGGAGGAGGGAAGAACUACGAGUUUGGUUCAAAAUCUACACCGGCAACUGCUAGAGCUUUGUGGUUCAGUCGCUUAUGCUCAAACCUCUCCACCCACCACCGACGCCUCCCUAUUUCCACCACCUCCUCAUCCGCCCUUUAAUUCCCGCACCUAGUAAUUCCGGCAUCAGUAAUCAUUCUAAUGCAAAUAUUUUAUAUAUAUAUAUAUAUAUAUAUAUAUUCUAGAGCCCAAAAUACUAUUGAUGAGUUCUUUCAUCCCGUAAAGCCAACUCUGGGGCAAAUAGUUAGGCAAAGACUGCAUGAAGGAAAGAAGGUAACAUGCAGGUUGCGUGGUGUGAUACUUGAGGAAAGUAAUCCGGAAGAGCUUCAGAAACAAGCAAUUGUUAGAUCAUCUGUACUUGAAGUACUACUUGAAAUUACAAAAUUUUGUGACCUUUAUCUCAUGGAAAGAGUUCUCGACGAUGAAAGUGAGAAAAAGGUUCUCAUUGCUUCAGAAGAUGCUGGGAUUUUCACAUCUGGUGGUUGGCUUUUCUAAAAGCCUGCUCGGAAUGACUUAUAAGUAUAAAUGACUUAUAAGUUAUACGUGGAAGGCGUUUCAGAAUUUAUUGGAUUUCGAUAAGUUAUCCCUCGCCUCUGCUAUCAUGCUCUGCUUUAGAAACAUAAUAGUUUACGGCAUGGGUAUUAUUUGCUGGAUAUCAAAAGGAUGCUGAAAUUGCUGUGGAUGCAGACAUUGUUUAAAACGAUCAAUUUCACAGGAAGCAGAAUCAAGUCACAUGCUAAGUAAAGGAGGUCAUUAUUGGAGUAAGAGGAUAUUUUUUUUAUGGUAAAAAGAAUAACUUGUUUAUGCGAAGUACCGCAUACAUGGUGAAAUUCUUUUAUUAUUCCGUUCUUUAAUAUUCUGUUGGAAUAUCCUGUCGGUGUGAAUUUUACUUGACCUGGUUCCAUUACUUAUUAUGCUGCAUUUAAUAUUCUGUCGGAAUAUCCUGUCCGUGCUUUUUACGCCGGACCUGGUUCCAUUACUUAUUAUUCCGUAUUUAUGAUUCCGUUGGAAUAUCAUGUCUGUGCUUUACGCUGGACCUGGUUCCGCCUUUAUUAUUCUAUAUUUAUUAUUCUGUUGGAACAUCCUGUCGGUGUGAAUUUCACCUGACCUGGUUCCGUUAUUUAGCAUUCUGUUAGAAUAACCUGUAUACGUGGAUUACCNN